AGAGUUUGAUCAUGGCUCAGAUUGAACGCUGGCGGCAUGCCUUACACAUGCAAGUCGAACGGUAACGCGGGGCAACCUGGCGACGAGUGGCGAACGGGUGAGUAAUAUAUCGGAACGUGCCCAGUAGUGGGGGAUAGCCCGGCGAAAGCCGGAUUAAUACCGCAUACGACCUCAGGGUGAAAGCGGGGGAUCGCAAGACCUCGCGCUAUUGGAGCGGCCGAUAUCAGAUUAGGUAGUUGGUGGGGUAAGAGCCUACCAAGCCUAAGACGGGUAGCCGGACUGAGAGGUUGAACGGCCACACUGGAACUGAGAUACGGUCCAGACUCCUACGGGAGGCAGCAGUGGGGAAUUUUGCGCAAUGGGCGAAAGCCUGACGCAGCGACGCCGCGUGGAGGAUGAAGGUUUUCGGAUUGUAAACUCCUUUUGUAGGGGAAGAUAAUGACGGUACCCUAUGAAUAAGCCACGGCUAACUCUGUGCCAGCAGCCGCGGUAAGACAGAGGUGGCAAGCGUUGUUCGGAAUUACUGGGCUUAAAGGGCGCGUAGGUGGUGGCAUAAGUCCGAGGUGGAAGGCUAAGGCUUAACCUUAGAAUUGCCUUGGAAACUGUAUCACUUGAGUCAGCGAGGGGAUGGCGGAAUUCCAGGUGUAGCGGUGAAAUGCGUAGAUAUCUGGAGGAAGGCCGGUGGCGAAGGC
rnacentral:rRNA from 1 species